AGCUCCAAUAGCGUAUAUUAAAGUUGUUGCAGUUAAAAAGCUCGUAGUUGGAUUUCUGAGAGAUAGACAAAGUCCUCGUUGAGUGUGCUGCGUCUGUUUUUCAUCCUUCUGUUAACGUUUCUUGGUAUUCAGUUACUGGUUUCGGGCUCAGAUAUUUUACCUUGAGAAAAUUAGAGUGUUCCAGGCAGGCUUGCGUCGGAAUACAUUAGCAUGGAAUAAUAGAAAAGGACUUGAGUCUCCUUUGUUGGUUUGAGGGACUCUAGUAAUGAUUAAUAGGGAUAGUUGGGGGCAUUAGUAUUUAAUUGUCAGAGGUGAAAUUCUCGGAUUUGUUAAAGACUAACUUAUGCGAAAGCAUUUGCCAAGGAUGUUUUCA
rnacentral:rRNA from 1 species